UUUUGUAAAUGUACCAUGCAUGCUUAAAAUGAAUGUAUCUACAUUUGUUCCUGAGAUACAGGUUGAUGGAUGGAUGGCUCCAUGGAUGUGAUGGAGAUGGUUUACUAUCGGGACCUUCCGUAUCCUGCUGAUGCUUUGUUGCUUAGGAUAUGAAUGGCUGAGCGGAGGCUGUAAAACCUGGCACUCUGCUUGGGUUAUCAAUACUCUGGCUGACCAUCAUCAUCGUGGGACUGACUUUGGUGGAAGUCCUUGGUUAGGUAUCAUUAUUGAAUUUCCGAGAAGUUAUAAAGUUGUCAUUACCCUC
rnacentral:lncRNA from 1 species